UUGAAAGGGAAACGAUUGAAGUCAGUCGUACUUCGGGUAAUCAGCCUUUUGGGUGUGAUUUUGUGGAGUGUGAGGAGUUAAACGCCCUCAUGCCUGCAUAUUCGUGCACUUUGGGUGUAUUUGCCCGUGUGGUAAGUUAACAUCAAUUUCGGUGGUCAUAAAAUGGCUGGAGGAAUGUAGCUUCGAUCUCGUAUUGAAGUGUUAUAGCUUCGGUAGAUGUGAUAAUCGGGAUUGAGGAUUGCAACGGGAUCCUUCGGGGCUACCUGUCUGAUCUCUGAUCGUUGCUCUGGUGCCGAAAGUUUGCUUACGGUUAUCAAAGUCGAUGGUCAAUAGGUUAGAACGGGUUAAAUUCGUUAAGGAUGUUGACGUA
rnacentral:rRNA from 1 species